rnacentral:rRNA from 1 species
UGGGACAAGCCCUGGAAACGGGGUCUAAUACCGGAUACGAGUUUCACGGGCAUCCGUGGGACUGGAAAGCUCCGGCGGUGCAGGAUGAGCCCGCGGCCUAUCAGCUUGUUGGUGAGGUAGUGGCUCACCAAGGCGACGACGGGUAGCCGGCCUGAGAGGGCGACCGGCCACACUGGGACUGAGACACGGCCCAGACUCCUACGGGAGGCAGCAGUGGGGAAUAUUGCACAAUGGGCGAAAGCCUGAUGCAGCGACGCCGCGUGAGGGAUGACGGCCUUCGGGUUGUAAACCUCUUUCAGCAGGGAAGAAGCGAAAGUGACGGUACCUGCAGAAGAAGCGCCGGCUAACUACGUGCCAGCAGCCGCGGUAAUACGUAGGGCGCAAGCGUUGUCCGGAAUUAUUGGGCGUAAAGAGCUCGUAGGCGGCUUGUCACGUCGGUUGUGAAAGCCCGGGGCUUAACCCCGGGUCUGCAGUCGAUACGGGCAGGCUAGAGUUCGGUAGGGGAGAUCGGAAUUCCUGGUGUAGCGGUGAAAUGCGCAGAUAUCAGGAGGAACACCGGUGGCGAAGGCGGAUCUCUGGGCCGAUACUGACGCUGAGGAGCGAAAGCGUGGGGAGCGAACAGGAUUAGAUACCCUGGUAGUCCACGCCGUAAACGGUGGGCACUAGGUGUGGGCAACAUUCCACGUUGUCCGUGCCGCAGCUAACGCAUUAAGUGCCCCGCCU